CUGUUACCACUCCAGCAAGAGUGUUCUUGGAAUCCAAGAAGUGGCAACAAUUUUCAGUUUAGAAACCAGGUUUAUGAUUGUCUAUGAAUUCCACUAUGAAUUCCACUUUUUAAAAAAUAACAAAUGCCAGAAUGACAAACGUGUGUGUCCCCUGUCCCAACCCCAGCACUGUUAACAUAAUCACUCAAAGGAACAGGUCUCUUUCUCUUGACUUCAUUACUAAGAAAACCAAGUUUAAUCUGCACAGUGGACUUAGUGACGCCUUAAAUUGUGGAGUUUUGGGAAGCAGUAGCUUUUUUCUUCCAUUUUCUAUUCCAAUAUCACCAACUUCCGCUGGGUGUCUUGGAUGACAUGACUGGUUGCAGCAGUAAAAUAGUGGGAGUGUAAAUAUCUCACAAUUACAAAGAUGUAACAUAACAAGAAGAAAAUUUACUGAGACAAAUUACCAGAACUUUUGCCAGGAGAUCAGAUUUGAAAUAACAAAAAAAUGACAUCAAACAGAACAAAAUAAAAUGAGCAUGAGGCACAUAAUUUACUUUUCUGGUUACCGAUUUUGGUGGCCCCGUGUCCUGUAGCACUUAGAUCCACCAUAAGCAUUAUAUUUCAUAUCAUUUAUUGGAGUACAUUUUUAAAGCAUAACAAUCUUUUAAUUACACUUAAAUGUUUCUAUGGAUAGGUUUAAUAUACUUUUUAAUGAAUAGAAGAACAUUUUGAUUAUAUCUUUGGAAACAUUUGUAGGGCUUAAAAGACAGCGGCAAUCAUGUGGCUUUCUAAUAGACUCUUUUGAAAAAAGUGCUUUACUUUGCAGAAUUAUAAGCCAAAAAAUACAACAGCAUUAAGUUAAUGCAGAGCAUUGUGAUUCAUCCAGUAAAACACACGGCCAUAGAUUCAUGGAUUUCUUAUAGUUAACUCCACUCCCCACACCCUCAGAGAAGUAAUCCCUGCAUUGCUAAUGUACCUCAGGGUCACUAAGUAAUCCACUGUGUGCCAAUCUGCCUUUGUGGCCCCUAGUUUUAUGUGAUGCAGCACUGACCUCAGGCCAUCACCUGUCUAGCAUCUUCCGCUCCUCUCCCUGCACAGAAAGAGAAUUGCCUUCUUCUGCCCUUAGGAAGUAUUGCUAAAGGACCUUUCCACUAGAAGUACCUAAAGUCAUACUCCUGGCAGCACUUAAGCUCUAAGGCUCAUGCUGUGGUCAGUGAGGGCCGGCAGUGAUGGAAUGUGGACCCCAUCCAUCUUGGUGGGAAUCAGACCUACGGUGACCUGCCAUAUCGAUCCCAGAUGAAGGAAUCUUCUGUUCUGUUCACUGGGAGCUAUUCAGCUGGGAACAUGAGGCCCAGAAGACAGAUGACUGUCCCACCCAGGCUUAGUCAAGUGUGAUUAUCCUGUGCUAAAUGCUCUGGGCUGUGACUUCAUCAGCUGCUGGAUUCACUCACACUGUGAUGACAAAAGUCUCUCAAAGUCCUCUCAGUAUAGAAUGCUGAUCCCACCUGGCUCAUUUGCCCAGAUCCAACACAACUUCACAAUUAAACCAAUCUGGUCUGCAUAAAAGCUUGGAAUUACUUAGUCUUAGUUGCUUGCCACUCUAAUUUUUAAAAUCAAAUCAAACUUCUCAACACCUGAGUGUCUCACUGGUAUGCCAGUUGGACCUGCAAUUGUGAUUAAUUUGAUUAUUUAAAAUCAGUAGGUCACUUGAAUAGUAGUAAUUCUUUUGAAAGGUGCUAGGGCCUAGUGUGAUGGUGUAUGUAAUCCCAGCAACUUGGAGACUGAGGCAGGAGGAUUGCAAAUUCAAGUCCAUAUUAGGUAAUUUAGCAACAAGAACAAAAAAGAUGUCAGUUACUGCAUUUUUUUUCUCUUUUCCUUUGGUAAUUAAUGGUUCUCAACCUUACUCCUAGUUGUUUAUGGGCUAUCUCACUUGUUCUGAUGCCUGUCCCUUUUUCAUUAGGCUUAAAAAUUUAGAAGUACUAAGGUCCCCAGUACAUCAUUACUAGGCUUUUGAUAAAUAUUUGAGGAGGAUGAUUUUUACAUUUUUUAAUGUCCCUAGAUUCCAGAAUUUUGACUUGGCCAGUAUUUCAAAUUUUAGGGCUAAUAUUAGGCUGACAGUGUCUUAGUAAGGUUCUUGAUCAGGUCUCUUCAUAUUUCAAGUGAAGUAGAGAAAAAAACCAAAUAACCUCUAUUUGUCCAUUUCACAAGAAAAAAAAUUGGCCUGGAAGGGCCAUUUUACAAAUAAAUAUGGGUUAAUAUCUUCUUAAGCAACCAUAAAUACUGAAAGAAAACAGCCUGUGUAUACAUUUCACUUCAACAUUUAAAGUUAGCUGCUCCCAUUCUCUGAGUACCCCUAGUUGGAAUGAUUGAUUGCUCAGCUGGUAGGGCAUCAGGCAAAUCCUCCUGAAACCAAUGGCUCUAGAGAGGAACAAUCUGAUUCCCUCUGGCCCUUCUCAGGGGCCUCAUUUCUCAGAGUCCCAAGUAGGUAGCCAAAUAGGUAAUCCCAAGGCAUGUAGGGGAACAAUUUAGGAGACAAAUACGAGUUUCCUUUGCCAUGAAAUGGAAUUUCAUGAGCACCAGGCUAGCCCAGCCCUCAAGAAGUUUAUGAAUAUGUGUGUGACAAUUGACAGGCUGUGACAUUGUCAAAGGAGAGGUCCACACUUGAGCAGCAAGACACAGAGAAGGUUAGUUGGCUUCCCAGUGCCUCUAGAGUUGAAUGGCUUGGAAAGCCUGAUGUGGGGACUAUCUCCAGACAGCUAUCACUAGGCCACAUGAUGACACCACAUACCUAUGCACCAGAAGGGGAUGCCAUAAAUGGGAGGUGUGGGUCUACAGAAAUACGGCUGCCACCUUAUAGCUCUACAUAGGCACCUCAACCCUUAGAACCGAAGUCACUUGUUAGUAUGGUUUUUUGUUCUUUUUGAGACAGGGUCUACUAUGUAGUUCAGGAUGGUCCUGAACUCACUAGCCCAUGCUGGCCUCAAACUCAGGGCAAUUCUCCUGCCUUAGUCUCCUGAGUGCUGGGAUUACAGAGUUGUGUCACCAUGCCUGGCUCCUCACUAGUUAGUAUGUUAAGGGUGGCUUCUCAGUCUAUUCCCAGAUAAAAAUAUACAAGUAUUACAAACAAAAAUUUAAAAUAUUCAUAGAGUAGUUUUUAAAAAAUAUUCCAUUACUUGGCUCAGAGUCCUGAUGGCUGGCAAAGUGCAGUUCUUUCCAUCUCUCACAUUAUAACUGGAAUACAGUCCUUAUCUAAGCAUAGAUGCCACAAGUACACUGAGACUGACAUAAAACUUAUCUGCUACAUUUUCUGAUAAGGCAGGAAUGUGCUUUUCAAAUCUCUGAUCAUGGCCCUUCUCAUCUCUCACCAUUCUCUUUCUUUACCUGGCUUGCCUAGGAAAAAUGUUAUGUACUAGGGCUCUUCUUCUGGGCUGACCUCUUUUGGCUGUUGCUCUAAUGUCUUGUUUGCCCCAUGAGAAAGCAAAAACACUCACCAGAAGUCUAUAACUGCUCCCAGUGCUCAGGCGCCUCAGUGCUCUCCAGAGGCUGAACUCAUCAGCAGGCUUGCCCGCUAGCCCUGCCACAGCCACAGGCUUCCAAGGGGAAAAGAUUUCAAGACUGCAAGGAUUUUUAUCAUCAGAGAGGGAAAAAAAGGACAAGGGGAGGUAGGACAGAGAGAGAAGGAGAGAAGGAAGAAGGAUGGGAAAGACAGAGAUCUAUGGCAGAGCAUCAGCUUCCAGUUUCUCACUGGAGGAGAGGACUUCAGCUCAGCCCCAGCCCAGCAUGGCCUUGGUCCUGAAGUCAGCCUUAGGUGCUGCUAGCUCUUAAAGAAAUACCUGCAAUGAUUGAACUUCUGAACAGAGUUCAGCCAGGCUUGGACCUGAGAAGGGUUGCCCUGUGAAUCCUUUUUCUGAGAGAGCACCAAAAAGCUGCCAGCAGGUAUUUAAGUCCUGUUUACGUAAAAAGGAGAGGACAACUUGAAGUUCUAAGAGUUCUAAGUAACUGAAAGAAAUCAGAUUGGUUAAUGCUUCUGCUUAUAUCCAGACAGAGGAGAAGAGCAAGUUUGAGUGCCUGGGGUGGGUGGUGGAUGAGGGAAAUCGUAGAAGGGAGAGAGGAGCCUUAAGUUUGCCCUUGAGAAAGGAAGGAACCCACUGGCUAAGAUGAAAUGCACUGUUUUUAAGGAGGGCAGCUCCCAGGGAGGGGCGGUGAUGGCUGCUCUUCUAGGACUCUGCCCUGCCUCCCUUCCUAUACUUCUGUGCCCAACGUGGAAGAGGAAUGAAGCUGAACUAGAGGUGUUUUCUGCUAAUACCACACCAAUUUCAACACAGAUCUUGCUAUAUGGUCCAGCCUGGGCUUUAACUCAGUAUCUUCCUGCCUCAGUCUCCUGAGUUCUGGGAGGAUUACAGAGCUCUUGCACUUCUUCGGUAUAAUUUCAGAUCAACUCAGAAGCCCAGCCUAAGCCAAUCAGCAUACAGCACUGCUUUGGCCAUAGAGACCCACGUGACCCAGCCACAGGAGAGGGAGGGACCACACUCUUAGAAGAAAAUCAGCAGAAAUGAUGUUUUUUCUCUUUAGACAUAGUGAUAGUCAAAGGCAAAACCUUUGCGUCUGCAUAAGAAGCCAGUGUGGGGAGGAAGCUGGCCCGCAGGUGGGCACAGCUAAGGAAAACGGAAUGGAGACAACACCACUAUAUUAAAUCAGGCCAGAAGCCUUCCCUAGAUCCAGAUGUCUGGUUAUAGAAGCCACUAAAUUCCCUCCUUGCAUGAGUCACUUGAAUUGGAUUUUCUGUUAUUUAUAGCAUAAAUCAUUGUAACUGCUGUACGCUGUGACAUCCUUCAUUACUGUAAUAGAGAAAUAGGAAGAUUUCUAACAUCUGUACUUUCUGACCCUUGGCAUACAACUAUCACUGGUUUUGAGGAAAGUCCUUAAAAAUAUCCCCUCUCAUUUUUCCUACAGGAAUUAGUUUCUACCUAAUACUUAUUAAAACUUUCAAACAAUCAGAAAAGUUGGACUUUUAAACCUAAUAGCUAUUGACCUAACAAUUAUUGACAUUUUCCACAUAUUUGGGUCAUCUAUUUUAUAUCUACAUCUAUCUACC
ensembl:lncRNA